AAUCAACGCUGGCGGCGUGCCUAACACAUGCAAGUCGAGCGCGAAAGGGAGCUUCGGCUCCUGAGUAGAGCGGCGGACGGGUGAGUAACACGUGGGCAACCUACCUCCGGGUGGGGAUAACUUCGGGAAACCGGGGCUAAUUCCGCAUAACAUUUCGGGCUCAUAAGAGUCUGUUAUCAAAGCUGGGGACCUUUCGGGGCCUGGCGCCUGGGGAGGGGCCCGCGGCCGAUUAGCUUGUUGGUGAGGUAAUGGCUCACCAAGGCUGCGAUCGGUAGCCGGCCCGAGAGGGCGGACGGCCACACUGGGACUGAGACACGGCCCAGACUCCUACGGGAGGCAGCAGUGGGGUAAGUUUUUUGUCAAGUCGGGGGAAACCCUGAACAAGCAACGCCGCGUGGAGGAUGAAGGCCUUCGGGUCGUAAACUCCUGUCGGAGGGGACGAAAGCGGUUGGGGUUAAUAACCUCAGUCGUUGACGGUACCCUAUGAGGAAGCCCCGGCUAACUCCGUG
rnacentral:rRNA from 1 species